CCCAAUCUUGAUCUUCUGUGCUGCCUGCUUAUCCGGAAGUUCUAUGUUAAUGUCCAGUGGCCGUGACCGGUCAGCUUCAUAAGCAUUGCAAACCGUCAAUGGCUUCUUUUGUUCCCGUUUUGCAGAAAGAGAAAAGUUCUCAACUGAAGAAAUGUGAAGCGGCUUCUCAGAAGUCAAUGAAGGGACAAAGUUAUGGCCUUUUUGCGAAUUCGGAAUAAUGUGUAGUGGAGAAAACUGAAGUUUAACAGCUGAACGCUUUCUGGGUAGGAAAUCAGAAGAAGUGAAAGUGGAGUGCGAGUGCUUUAGUGAAGAGAUCAUAGUGUUCAUGUUCUAGUAUAGAACAGACUUACAACUACAAACAAAGAAUGUUUUAAACGUAAAUGGUGUCCAAAGAAGUAUUGAGAGAAACAAUACUUGAAAGAGAAAUUCUUGAAACUCAGCUUGUUUCCCAAGAAACUAUCAGAAUGUAUGGAAUAUAUAUAGGUGGGAAAAGCCGAAUUGUGAAGAAGUGAAGAUACUCUUUGGUAUACUGGCGGGUUAGGUGAAGAAAUGGAGAUAGAGAUAGGAGAGGGUUGUUCGGGAUUGUAGAUGAAAGGAAGAUGUCCU
rnacentral:misc_RNA from 1 species